rnacentral:rRNA from 1 species
GAUGAACGCUAGCGGCAGGCUUAAUACAUGCAGGUCGAGGGGUAACAUGGUAGCAAUACUGAUGACGACCGGCAAACGGGUGCGGAACACGUACAGAACCUUCCUUUAAGCGGGGGAUAGCCCAUAGAAAUGUGGAUUAACUACCCCAUAGCAAUAUUUAAUGGCAUCAUUAGAUAGUUUAAAGUAUUUAUCACUUAAAGAUGGCUGUGCGGCUGUAUUAGGUAGUUGGNGGCGGGUAACGGCCCACCAAGCCAUCGAUCAGUAACUGGUGUGAGAGCACGACCAGUCA